rnacentral:lncRNA from 1 species
CAUCAUGUGUGUUAGGUGCGAGAACUUCAGGUGCUGGAUCUGUAAUGAGAUAUAGGAUCCUUUCAUGCUCUAGAACUAUUUUUAACUUUCGAUACCAGCUAUCAAAGUUGGGUCCAAUAAGCUUAUCACUGUCCAACAGUGAGCAGAGUAACAAAUUACUAGCCAUAACUGAAAAGAAAAAUAUUAGACCUAUUAGUAUAUGAAUUAUUUAAGUCUAAAU